rnacentral:rRNA from 1 species
CCCUGCCUUUUGUACACACCGCCCGUCGCUCCUACCGAUUGGAUGGUCCGGUGAAAUCAUCGGAUCGCAGCGAGGAUGGUUCUGCCAACCACGCAGCGAGAAGUUGAGUAAACCUUAUCAUCUAGAGG